UGUUACGGGGUCUCCCAGAUGUGCAUGUGCGUGCUAGUACACCACAUCACAUGUCUCAUUAGCAUUUUAAUUCCUCACCCAGGGGUGUGUUUUUUAGCAUUAAAAUGAGCAUAGGUCAUUCCAAGAACACUCUAAUCAUGGGUUUCUGCACUUGUGUGAAUUUGGGGAUUUUCCCUUCUGCUGUUCAUCCUCUUUGCUGCAGGAUGUUCUAACUAGGAGCCUGAUGCAGUUUAUGCACCAGUGGGCGGUUUGUUCUCUCCAUCAAUCUGGCACAUUCAUUCCCCUUUAAAGGAGGCUAUGACCACUGUAUCUAACCGACCUCAUUUUCCCCCUCAGAGACUUUGGGUCCAUGUUCUUAUGAAAUGUGGAGGGCUGGGUCAUUUUUUCUGGAGCUGCUUCGUGCUGAGACAGGACCAGGGCCCGAAAGUCUCUUCUUGCCUGAUUUAAAGUGAUAGGGGUCAUAUCCUCCACUGGGAUAAGUUGAAAUCCUUGCAUAACUAUCAAUCUAGGAAUUGUUGUAACCUAGAAGACACAGACUUUAAAGGAGCUUAAACAAGCAAGGACCAAAGGUCAGUAGUAAUAAGAUGGCUAUUGUAGGUCCCAUGAAAGGUAGCAGAAUGAAGCAUCACAUCAUUAUUCAGCAAGCAGAAGAACAAAAAGAGCUCCUACAAAUAGGAGACCUGAGAUGGGACUACCUUAUGUUGAAGUAAUAUUAAUCUCUUUAUUUGGGGUGUUGGCAUCUUUUCUUGAAAAUGAAUGUUAGGUCUUCUAUAGGCUUACAAAAAGAUUUUUAAUCUUUAGUUGUUGAUGUAGAGUCCUGUGGAAAUGUAAGGGAAACAGUUUUUAUCCGAGAGAGAUGCACCCAGCUGGCAAUGUCCUGGAUUCUCUGGACUAUGCUGUGUUAUGGUGGUCAGCUGGGCUUUUGAGAGUGCUCCUAUGAGAAGGGGUUCAGUUGGUUUCAUUGGUUUUAAAGAAGCCCCCAACGAGGGUAGCAACAAGGGAGUUAGGCAUUCACGUCCUUGAGUCUGCAAAUUAAAGGUUGGGUGGCUGGGCACGGUGGCUCACGCCUGUAAUCCCAGCACUUUGGGAGGCCGAGGCAGGCGGAUCACGAGGUCAGGAGAUCAAGACCAUCCUGGCCAACAUGAUGAAACCCCGUCUCUACUAAAAAUACAAAAAAUUAGCCGNNNNNNNNNNGGAAACAGUUUUUAUCCGAGAGAGAUGCACCCAGCUGGCAAUGUCCUGGAUUCUCUGGACUAUGCUGUGUUAUGGUGGUCAGCUGGGCUUUUGAGAGUGCUCCUAUGAGAAGGGGUUCAGUUGGUUUCAUUGGUUUUAAAGAAGCCCCCAACGAGGGUAGCAACAAGGGAGUUAGGCAUUCACGUCCUUGAGUCUGCAAAUUAAAGGUUGGGUGGCUGGGCACGGUGGCUCACGCCUGUAAUCCCAGCACUUUGGGAGGCCGAGGCAGGCGGAUCACGAGGUCAGGAGAUCAAGACCAUCCUGGCCAACAUGAUGAAACCCCGUCUCUACUAAAAAUACAAAAAAUUAGCCGGGCGUGGUGGUGGGCGCCUGUGGUACCUCAAGAGACAUCUUGGAAAUUCUUAUUCCAAGAAGGCAGCAAGUUAGUGAGAAGGAUGCUGUCUGAAAUCACAUUUAUCUGUGUGCCAAACCUCAUGUCUGAUUCAUAAAUCGUUAGACAUCUGUAGUCUUAAAAGUCAUUCUAGAAGUGAACCCAGUGAAAUGAAAAAUAAAGGAUAAGAGAUAGAAGAAAGAGAGGCAGGUAAGUUUCNNNNNNNNNNNNNNNNNNNNNNNNNNNNNNNNNNNNNNNNNNNNNNNNNNNNNNNNNNNNNNNNNAAAAAAAAAAAAAAAAAAAGGUAAAAAGGUUGGGUAAAGUAUCUGGUCCGGGUUUUUCAUCAAUUCCCGUGGCAGUGCAGUGUUUGGCCUAUUUGGCCUACUAGGGUCGACGGCAGAAUGAAAGGACUGACAGGCUGGUCCCUGUAUGUAAUAGAAAAUUAGCUACACCUGCCACGUGCAGGGUCACUGGAUUCCUCUGUGGUAAUGGGGACUGAAUGACAGCCAGUGUUAGCCUUGGGUCUCCUCAGUCUUCAGUCAGGGCCAUCAAGGAAUUGGAAGCCCUGUCUCCCUCCGGAGUUGGGGGCAGUCCUGCUUCCAGUGACUGACAUCUCUGCAUUGUGGAUAUGGUCUAGAUGGAAUGGACUUUUGGGCAUUUUGUCCCUUGGUCUGGCAGUUUUGGGGCCAGUGUCCUGGUUUUAAGUGUAGCAGGUGUCCCCAGAUUGGGGCUUGGUCUGGACUGGCUUGUUCUCUCUGAUAGCAAGGGCCAAUCAUUGGAGGCCUGGUUUACGUCUCUUGCCUCUUCCCUCUUUCACUUUUUAGCCUCUUCUACUCUGUCUCGUUACAGAAGACUUCAAAGGCUACAUUAAGUAGCUCAUUCAUUGGUGCCUGGGGACUUACAGCCAGUUUUUGUAACUUUCUCUUAAUAUCUGGAGCAGAUUGACUAAUAAAAUGAGUCCCCAGAAGAAUUUGACCUGCCUCAGAGACAGCAUCUACAUUGGUAUAUUUUCCUAAUGCCUUUACAAGGCACCCCUGUGAAGACUCAAAAGGACCAUAUAAUAUUUCAAAGGUGCUGGGUUGCAGAUUGGUCUUGGGAGCCGCUCUUACUUGGAGGAAUGCUAGAGGCAAUCACUUUAAUAAGGACUCAGAAGUCUCUUGCCAGAGCUUCGCCAGAGUUUUCUUUACGAUUAGCUUUUUCUAGCUUUCCUGAGGAUGGAGGUCUCCAGGAAGCAUGUAAAUGAUCACUUACUCCUAGAGUGGUAGCACUUGCUGGGUUAUUUUGGAAACAAAGGAGGGGCCAUUGUCGCUUUGGAGUGACAUAGGUAGCCCAAAUCGGCGAAUGAUUUCUUUUAAGAGGCACUUGUGCCUUUUCUGUUUUGGUGGAGUAGGCUUCAAUCUAUCCCAUGAAAGUAUCUGUAGAGAUCAGUAAGUGCUUAAAUCUUUACACUGGUGGAACUUAGGGAAAGUCUAACUGUCUGUCUUCCCCUGGGUACCUUCCUCUCCUCUGUACUGGCAUCAGUAAUGGAAGUGGCCUUAUUUUCCUUUCUGGGUUAUUGAUAGAGUAAAGUGGUCUCGCUGUAGUGUCUGCUUUUGCAGUAGUAGCUAAGCCUGUUCCCUUAAGGGUUCAUGUGACCAAAGCGUUAGAGAGCCCCUUCCUAGGUGUCUGUAACCCCCUUUGAUUAAUUUGCAUUGAUGACCUUGAGGUAUUAAAAAUUUUGAAUUUUGGGGCCGGGCACGGUGGCUCACGCCUGUAAUCCAAAAAAAAAUAAAUAAAUAAAUAAAAUGGUAUUGUUUGGGGCCAUGCCGUAUUACAAAAGAAGAGAAGUCUCUUUUUUUUCUAGUCCAUUCAGUUUAAAAUAAGACCAAUUUUGGAGAAUGCAUCUGAGGGGGCAGUGAGCAGAGGGUUGGUUACUGUAUUAUUCCGCUCUCAUACCGCUAUAAAAACUACCUGAGACUGGGUAAUUUAUAAAGAAAAGAGGUUUAAUUGACUCACAGUUCCACAGGCUGUACAGGAGGCAUGGCUGGGGAGGCCUCAGGAACUUACAAUCAUGGCAGAAGGUGAAGGGGAAGCAAGUACAUUUUCACAUGGUGAUAGGAGAGAGAGAAAGAGAGUGAAGGGGGAAGUGCCACACACUUUUAAACCAUCAGAUCUCGUGAAAACUCACUAUCAUAAGAAUAGCAAGGAGGAAAUAGCCCCCAUGAUCCAAUCACCUCCCACCAGGUCCCUCCCCCAACAUUGGGAAUUGCAAUUCAACAUGAGAUUUGGGUGGGGACACAGACCCAAACCAUAUCAGUUACCCAUCUUGAUUAGUAGCCUAAUGUCAAAAAAAAAAAAAAAAAAAUGAAGAAGGCUCUAAGCCUGAAGAGACAACACUUUGGGAGGCCGAGGCAGGCUGAUCACGAGGUCAGGAAUUUGAGACCAGCCUGGCCAACAUGGCAAAACCGCAUCACUACUAAAAUCACAGCAGUGAGCUGAUAUCACCCCAUUGCACUCCAGCCUGGGCAAUAAGAGUGAAAUUCUGUCUCAAAAAAAAAAAAAAAAAGAAAAAAAGAAAGAAAGAAAAGAAAGGCUCAUUUUCUAUUUGCCUGAUCUUNNNNNNNNNNNNNNNNNNNNNNNNNNNNNNNNNNNNNNNNNNNNNNNNNNNNNNNNNNNNNNNNNNNUUUUUGAGACAGAGUCUUGCUCUGACGCCCAGGCUGGAGUGCAGUCGUGCAGUCUCGGCUCACUGCAAGCUCUGCCUCCCGGGUUCAUGCCAUUCUCCUGCUUCAGGCUCCCGAGUAGCUGGGACUACAGGUGGCCGCCACCAUGCCCAGCUCAUUUUUAGUAUUUUUAGUAGAGAUGGGGU
rnacentral:lncRNA from 1 species